UACACGGCUUUGUCUUGUGGUUGAAACGUUAUUUAUUUUGUUUUCGUCUUUGUGUUGAUAUUUCACUUUUUGCCUGAGAGGAAUUCAUCGAUAACGUUUCAAUGAGAGCUCCGACGGAGACGUUUUCACAGCCGUUAACGUUAAUAUAUUUUUCCCACCUCUGCCGGAGUUUCCAUCUUGGAAUCGCGGAUCCUUCACCAACUGCUUAUCGAGACUUCCAGAAUAUCAGCGAGUACCACUCCCGCAGACGCAGAGGCCCAUCUGUCUCUCCCCAAUCACUCCAAGGAUCAUCAUGCUCGGAGAGACAAUCCUGAGUGCAAAAAAAUGGAUGCUGUCGAUCGAGGGAAUCCCACCUGGUGCUCACAUGGCGUACUUCACCACUGCCUUGGCCGCUCUCUUCGCCUGUUACUAUGUAUUCAACCUAGAGUAUCAGGUGGAAGGCAGCACAACACUGGAGUUUGU